AUCCUUUUGCGGUCCCAUGAGUGUGGCGAUUGGGUUUUCACACUCACGUGAGAUGGCCCUCCCUCAGACUUUGGUCUGCUGUUGAAACAUCACUUGUCUGACA